CCUACGGGUGGCAGCAGUGGGGAAUAUUGCACAAUGGGGGGAACCCUGAUGCAGCGACGCCGCGUGAGUGAAGAAGUAUUUCGGUAUGUAAAGCUCUAUCAGCAGGGAAGAAAAUGACGGUACCUGACUAAGAAGCCCCGGCUAACUACGUGCCAGCAGCCGCGGUAAUACGUAGGGGGCAAGCGUUAUCCGGAUUUACUGGGGGUAAAGGGAGCGUAGACGGCAGCACAAGUCUGGAGUGAAAUGCCGGGGCUUAACCCCGGAACUGCUUUGGAAACUGUGCAGCUAGAGUGCAGGAGAGGUAAGUGGAAUUCCUAGUGUAGCGGUGAAAUGCGUAGAUAUUAGGAGGAACACCAGUGGCGAAGGCGGCUUACUGGACUGUAACUGACGUUGAGGCUCGAAAGCGUGGGGAGCAAACAGGAUUAGAUACCCCAGUAGUC
rnacentral:rRNA from 1 species